rnacentral:rRNA from 1 species
GACGAACGCUGGCGGCGUGCUUAACACAUGCAAGUCGAACGAAGUGGCGAACGGGUGAGUAACGCGUAAUCAACCUGCCCUUCAGAGGGGGACAACAGUUGGAAACGACUGCUAAUACCGCAUACUGAAGGAGGGGAUUGAGUCUGAUUAGCUAGUGGGAGGGGUAACGGCCCACCACGGCGAUGAUCAGUAGCCGGCCUGAGCGGGGGACCGGCCACAUUGGGACUGAGAUACGGCCCAGACUCCGACGGGAGGCAGCAGGGGGGGAUAUUGCACAAUGGGCGAAAGCCGGAUGCAGCGACGCCGCGUGGGGGAGGAAGGCUUGCGGGUUGUAAACCUCUGUCGCUAUCGAACGGGUAGGUGGAGAAGAAGCGCCGGCUAACUACGUGCCAGCAGCCGCGGUAAUAC